CCCGUACAUGGCAUGGAGCGCCCGAAGCUUUGUGAUACGCUUUCUAAGAGUCGAGUUGUUUGGGAAUGCAGCUCAAAAUGGGUGGUAAAUGCCAUCUAAGGCUAAAUAUUGGGGAGAGACCGAUAGCGAACAAGUACAGUGAUGGAAAGAUGAAAAGAACUUUGAAAAGAGAGUUAAACAGUACGUGAAAUUGCCAAAAGGGAAGGGUAGGAGGUCAGAGAUGCGGCCUGGGAUUCAGCCUUGCUUUUGCUUGGUGUUUUUCCCAGAUUGCAGGCCAACGUCGGUUUUGGGCACUGGAGAAGGGUAGGAGGAACGUGGCACCUCUCGGGGUGUGUUAUAGCCUCCUACUGGAUACAGCGACCGAGACCGAGGACAGCAGCGUACUCGCAAGAGCGGGCCUUCGGGCACCUUUACGCUUAGGGCGUUGGCAUAAUGGCCCUCUACCACCCGUCUUGA
rnacentral:rRNA from 1 species